AUUGAACGCUGGCGGCAGGCUUAACACAUGCAAGUCGAGCGGAUGAAGGGAGCUUGCUCCUGGAUUCAGCGGCGGACGGGUGAGUAAUGCCUAGGAAUCUGCCUGGUAGUGGGGGAUAACGUCCGGAAACGGGCGCUAAUACCGCAUACGUCCUGAGGGAGAAAGUGGGGGAUCUUCGGACCUCACGCUAUCAGAUGAGCCUAGGUCGGAUUAGCUAGUUGGUGGGGUAAAGGCCUACCAAGGCGACGAUCCGUAACUGGUCUGAGAGGAUGAUCAGUCACACUGGAACUGAGACACGGUCCAGAGUCCUACGGGAGGCAGCAGUGGGGAAUAUUGGACGAUGGGCGAAAGCCUGAUCCAGCCAUGCCGCGUGUGUGAAGAAGGUCUUCGGAUUGUAAAGCACUUUAAGUGGGGAGGAAGGGCAGUAAGUUAAAACCUUGCUGUUGUGACGUUACCAACAGAAUAAGCACCGGCUAACUUCGUG
rnacentral:rRNA from 1 species